rnacentral:piRNA from 1 species
UUGCAUGAGGUGUAACACCGCGAAGGUC